GUACUUGCUUUGGCAUCACAUAUACUAAAAUUGGAAUGCUACAUGAUGAUUAGCAUGGCCCCUGAGCAAGGAUAACACAUAAAAACAACCAAGCAGGUGUCU